GGCCAGACUCCUACGGGAGGCAGCAGUGGGGAAUAUUGCACAAUGGGGGAAACCCUGGUGCAGCGACGCCGCGUGAGUGAAGAAGUAUUUCGGUAUGUAAAGCUCUAUCAGCAGGAAAGAAAAUGACGGUACCUGACUAAGAAGCCCCGGCUAACUACGUGCCAGCAGCCGCGGUAAUACGUAGGGGGCAAGCGUUAUCCGGAUUUACUGGGUGUAAAGGGAGCGUAGACGGUGAAGCAAGUCUGAAGUGAAAGGCGGGGGCUCAACCCCCGGACUGCUUUGGAAACUGUUUGACUGGAGUGCAGGAGAGGUAAGUGGAAUUCCUAGUGUAGCGGUGAAAUGCGUAGAUAUUAGGAGGAACACCAGUGGCGAAGGCGGCUUACUGGACUGUAACUGACGUUGAGGCUCGAAAGCGUGGGGAGCAAACAGGAUUAGAUACCCGUGUA
rnacentral:rRNA from 1 species